GGUCCUGUGACAGCAUCAAAGUGUGACAAGACAUUUGGGAAAAGAUUUCAGUAAGUCACCAAAAACCAGCUGGAAAACAAAAACUUGAAAUAUGAGAUGUCUGAACCCACCUGGGAUGCCCAUUUCUCCCAUAGCACCUUUUGGUCCUGGGACUCCAGGACCACCUGGUCCACCCGGAAGACCAAGAUCUCCCUUAGGUCCUGCAGCACAAUACAAACAGUACGUUAGAAAUCUGUUGCUUGAGUAAGUGUGUAUUUAUCUAUGCACAAGUGUGUGUGUUAACAGGUCCAUACCUGGUGGUCCAGGGAGUCCAGGGCGUCCAUCUGAUCCUGGCAGUCCGGGGUCACCAGGCAGACCAGUGAUGCCUUUCUGACCUGGAAGACCUGGUACACCUGUGGAACGCACACAAAAAAGAGAGACAAUGAAGGUGUUCUCAGCUGUACCUGGUAGUCCAGUAUCUCCUUUGGUUCCCUUUGUGACUGACGGCGGCAGGCUGGCACCAGGGGGUCCCUGGACGCCAGGGUCACCUCUCUCUCCUUUAGCACCUGGACCUCCCGGUCCACCGUCUCUGCCCGGGAAUCCAGGUUCACCUGGAGAGCAGAACGUGAGAAUCAACAGGAACAUCAAAUCAGGAACAGCACAGCAGAAUACCUUUAAAUCCUGGAGCACCAUCGACUCCAGGUCGUCCAGAUGAACCAGGGCUGCCAGGGAAGCCAGGAUCUCCCUUUGGUCCUGAGGCCCCUUUAGUUCCAGGUACUCCUGGUAAGCCUGGGGGGCCAGGAAGGCCAAAGCCAGGCUCACCCUGUCACACACAGAGAGGGUGGCAAAAAGAUUAACUUGGGUC